AAAGGCAGACAAAUAUGAGUGUGUACUUUGAAUUGGCAUGCGCAGCCACACUGGCUGAAGCCAUGAGAAGAUUUGAAAGAGGGGUGUGGGGGCCACCCCUUCGUUGUGAACAGUUUGAUUAGGGCCCUGGCUUUCUUUCUUUCUUUCUUUCUUUGUGAGAAGAUUUGAAAGAGGGGUGUGAACAGUUUGAUUAGGACCCUGGCUUUUUUUUUUUUUUUUUUUGCAUCUUCAUCUCUUUCCAUAUUCAUUACACUGCCUGAUCGUAGCUGAGCUAAUGCCAAAUAGCUUUCCCGUUAAUCUGAUUAAAUAAUAGCACAGGAUUGCGAUGUCAGUGCACCAGAGAUAGGGAGACAAUGUCUGUUGCAAAGCCGAAGCGGACCUGACGGGCAAGAGGCAGACCAUGAUAAGCUUGAAAUAGACCACAGCAGUGGCUGCAGAAAGGAGAGUCUCACAGAGCAAGGUUAUGGCUGCCAGUGGACUACAGAGAAAAGGACAGGAUGCUUGGCUAGAGACAUCAUGCAAGACAUGGGCCAGCACCACAUCUUUGCCCUCUGCAUUCCGAAAGGUGGCUACACGUUCUUCGAUGGAUCACAUCAAAGCCCUAAAUCAGAACACAGAUCAGUCUGUCCCAAUCACAGUGGAUUUUGUAAGACUACAAAGUUACUGUGUAAGUAUAUUUCUUCAUAACUUCAGUUGACCAUGUGAUUAGAAUGGAAUGGUGAUGAAAGCAGGCUAAGGGUCUAAUUGCAACUUUCUAGACAGCAUGCCAUUAAAAGAUGGAAGAACGUAAAGGCUGGGCGAUGUCUAUACAGCAUAGGUCUCAUAAUUAGAACGUUAUAGUAGGACCCCUGUAUAUGUGGGUUCAGUACCCACUGAUUCGCUUAUCCAUGAUCUG
rnacentral:lncRNA from 1 species